ensembl:lncRNA
UGGAACCAAAUGGUCCUCAACUAACGCAGACACAUACGGCGCCGUAAAUACAGGUAAGUAUGGUGCAAUGGCUGGUAAACUAGGUAUGUGCUUAUAAAGGUUAAAGUCGCUGUGCUGAAAUUCAGAAAUGAACACAGAACACAGAUCGGGUCAAUAUUUACACUGUUUUUUUUUUUUUUUUUUGUAAAUAAUGUUGAGUAAUAAUUCUGCGAAAUCGUCAUUUGAAGCCCAAAGUAUCGCGUUCACCCAGCGAUGUAUCUUUAGCCCUACUCCUUCUUGUAUAUCUGUAUUAGAGCCCGUGGUGUUUUCGCGUCGGAGCAAGACCCAGAGCUCCAUGCCAACUGGCGACACUGACCCUGAACGCAGCCAGGCCAGGAUGACGGCCACCUCAAACCGGGUCUUCUUUUCAGAGGCGGGUCUCUCUACACUGCAUUUGUUUGAUUUGUGGUGGGACUAGCGGCGGCCUAGCGGGUAAGGAAACGGACCCGCAAGCUGAAGACGGCUGAAUCGAAUCCCGAACCGCCAAGGUGCCACUGAGCAGAGCACCGUCCCCACACACUGCUCCCCGGGCGCCUGUCAUGGCUGCCCACUGCUCACUAAGACUGAUGGGUUAAAAGCAGAGGUUUUCGAUGUGCAUGUAGGGUUUCACAAUGACAAUCACAUUGACUGCGACUCGUGACGUUCCCCCCCCUCAGGUAAAUCACAAGGAGGUUCCACAGCAUGUGGACGGCGCCAGUAUCCUGACCAAGUCCAACGUGCGCUUGGGGCGGCCCGCCAUGUACCGCCUGCCCCGUAGCACUUUCACAGAGGACUACGUCUACAGAGGUGCCACCAAGACCAAGGGCCAUGCCUUUCCCCCAGGCCAUGUGCUGCCAAGCCGAGGUGCAUUUCCUGAACCGGGGGCGGUACUCAGCACCAUGCAGACAGACUACGUCCCAUGUGCCCAUCAAAGACAGAAGUUAUCUCCCAGAAUGCUGCAGCAGGUACAGUGUUGACCCUGUCUUAUUUAUUCAGGUGCAUUCUAUUUAGAGGAAUACGUGUCUCUCAACGACACGUUGGACCUUCCCCCACCGGAAGGUCCUUAGUUUUUGCGUUUUGGCACCUUUAGACAUGAACAAUGUUUCUCUGCUUGGUUUAGAUUAAAGACUGCCACAUCUCUCCUCCCUGCAAGCAGCAACAUUUCAGCACAACCCAUGAUGAGGCUUUUGGACCCAAACCCAUCUUGAAGACCACGCGGGAGAAGAUCCCGCCGAGACAGCAUAUUAGCCAUGUGGUGUUUUGAUGGGACUGUAUCCUCUGUGAAGCCGGACUCGGGAUAGUCUGGUGUAAUGCCAGGGAGGUUGUGGCCCGAGAGGCCUGAGCAGGAGAAACGCAGACUUUGUCCUCUGAAGCUCACGCGACAAGGCAAAGUCCCCGCCGUUAUUUCGUAGAUGGCGGUACGGCAGAACUGUGGCCCCCAGUUCCCACAAGGCUUUUCAUUAAAUCCACGCUGGCUGUGCAC